UUUAGAAAUCUCAGGAGACUUUUGCCAUCCCCAACUGCCCUGAGAAGUAUUGGCAGGGUUUUCCUCCCCCCAAGCACCUUUAGAAAUCUCAGGGGACUUUUGUUGUCCCCAAGUUCCCUGAGAACAAGCAUCAAGUGCCUUCUGAAGUAGUAUCGACAUUUUGCCGACCCCAAGAAUGACGGGCAGUAGACUUAUCUUCAGUUUAAAUAUCUAAACUGUUAUGUAAAGCAUAUUGAAACUGUAUUUCUGCAAUCUUCGAUCUUCAGCCAAACUGUUGGCUUCAAAGUUGGCUGAGAAGGGAAAUCCAAGCUCUUACGCAGAAAUGUGUAAGCCAUGCAUUACCAAUAUGAUGGAGUUCAAUUCUAUUAAAGUACCUGAAUGACGUCAACAGAGAUUUGGCUCAGCUUUUGCAACAAAGUGGAUUACAACUCACUGUAUGCUACAUUGCUACUGCAGAAUGAAUCAAAGCUGAUGAAAGUCUUUUCUACACUAAAUUAACAAGCACAAAUUCCAAAAGCAAAAGCGAAAAACUUAUUCAGCUGAUUUCAUUGUGAUAAUUCUAAGUCACCUAUGAUGACCUGGAAAUUGAACUAAGAGGCUGGCAGAAGCAGAAAUUCCAGAAAAAAUUCAACAAUUUUACAAGGAAGUUCAAGCAAAGUUCAGUUACCAGUCCUGUUUAUCUGCCCUCAAAAUUGUAUUAUGUCUCCAAGAACUAUAUUCAGUUGGCAGUCCUGUUCAUUAUACGGGCAUUUGCUCUUUCACUUUUAGUUUCAGUUUCAGUUUCAUGUCAACUAUAUUCAGUUUCAGUUGGUAGUCCUGUUCAUUACACACAACUACUUAUGUAUAUAAUCACGUACUUUCCUAAACAAUUC
rnacentral:lncRNA from 1 species